UACGUAGGGGGCGAGCGUUAUCCGGAAUUAUUGGGCGUAAAGAGUACGUAGGCGGGAGCUUAAGCGUAGGGUUUAAGGCAAUGGCUUAACCAUUGUUCGCCCUGUGAACUGAGUUUCUUGAGUGCAGGAGGGGAAAGCGGAAUUCCUAGUGUAGCGGUGAAAUGCGUAGAUAUUAGGAGGAACACCAGUGGCGAAGGCGGCUUUCUGGACUGUAACUGACGCUGAGGUACGAAAGUGUGGGGAGCAAACAGGAUUAGAUACCCUGGUAGUCCCUGAGCGGGCU
rnacentral:rRNA from 1 species